rnacentral:rRNA from 1 species
UGGGGAAUCUUGCGCAAUGGGCGAAAGCCUGACGCAGCCAUGCCGCGUGAAUGAUGAAGGUCUUAGGAUUGUAAAAUUCUUUCACCGGGGACGAUAAUGACGGUACCCGGAGAAGAAGCCCCGGCUAACUUCGUGCCAGCAGCCGCGGUAAUACGAAGGGGGCUAGCGUUGCUCGGAAUUACUGGGCGUAAAGGGAGCGUAGGCGGACAUUUAAGUCAGGGGUGAA